GGUUGUGGCUCAGUGGUAGAGCACUUGCCUAGCACGCAUGAGGCACUGGGUUCGAUGCCUGGCACCA
rnacentral:tRNA from 1 species